rnacentral:rRNA from 1 species
GAGGCCAUCCGGGGGUAGCUUUUACACAUGCAAGUCGAACGGCAGCACGGACUUCGGUCUGGUGGCGAGUGGCGAACGGGUGAGUAAUUUAUCGGAACGUGCCUAGUAGCGGGGGAUAACUACGCGAAAGCGUAGCUAAUACCGCAUACGCCCUACGGGGGAAAGCAGGGGAUCGCAAGACCUUGCACUAUUAGAGCGGCCGAUAUCGGAUUAGCUAGUUGGUGGGGUAACGGCUCACCAAGGCGACGAUCCGUAGCUGGUUUGAGAGGACGACCAGCCACACUGGGACUGAGACACGGCCCAGACUCCUACGGGAGGCAGCAGUGGGGAAUUUUGGACAAUGGGGGAAACCCUGAUCCAGCCAUCCCGCGUGUGCGAUGAAGGCCUUCGGGUUGUAAAGCACUUUUGGCAGGAAAGAAACGUUCCGGGUUAAUACCCCGGGAAACUGACGGUACCUGCAGAUUAAGCACCGGAUAACUACGUGC